rnacentral:rRNA from 1 species
AAUGAACGCUGGCGGCAGGCCUAACACAUGCAAGUCGAACGGAUCCUUCGGGAUUAGUGGCGGACGGGUGAGUAACGCGUGGGAACAUACCCUUUGGUACGGAAUAGCCUCGGGAAAUUGGGAGUAAUACCGUAUGUGGUCGAGAGACGAAAGAUUUAUCGCCAAAGGAUUGGCCCGCGUUGGAUUAGCUAGAUGGUGAGGUAACGGCUCACCAUGGCGACGAUAGGUAGGGGGCCUGAGAGGGUGGUCCCCCACACUGGUACUGAGACACGGACCAGACUCCUACGGGAGGCAGCAGUGAGGAAUAUUGGUCAAUGGGCGCAAGCCUGAACCAGCCAUGCCGCGUGCAGGAAGAAUGCCCUAUGGGUUGUAAACUGCUUUUAUUUGGGAAUAAACCUCUUUACGAGUAGAGAGCUGAAGGUACCAAAUGAAUAAGCACCGGCUAACUCCGUG